rnacentral:miRNA from 1 species
UAAAGGAUGACAGUGUGUAACU